UAUACGUAUGUACAUGUAUAUAAUAUAUAAUGCAUAUAUAGUAUAUAUGAUGUGUGUGUGUGUGGCCACAGGGUCCUUGGGAGAGGAAUAAGCAAUGGACUACAAUAAGAAGCUUGGACUUGGGAGUUGACAGAAUCCACAGAGGAGUAUGAUAUGAUGUAGACCUCGAGGUAUGCACACUUAUGAACUAUUACGUGCGUGAUGGCAUUGGGUUGGACUCCAGAGAGAGGCUCACACACCAGAGUCCAUACUUACUAAUUCCGUUGGAUCUUUGUACACCUUAGUUGCUUCAUCUUCAUAAGAGCUGGGGGGGGGGUGUCAGUGGGUAGAGUGCUUACUGGGCAAGCAUGAGAACAGGGGUUUGGAUCCCCAGAGCCCACACAAGGCUAGAUAUGAUAGCAUUCAUCUGUAACACCAGAAAGCCUACAGCAAGACAGGAGGCAGAGAUGGGAGCUGAAAGCUCUCAGGACAGUUUGCCUGAAACAUAUGCAACAUUGCCGUAACAGGAGACCCCACCUCAAAGGUGGAAGGUGAGGGCCAACACAUGAGGCUGGCCUCUGACUUCCGUGUGUGCUAAGGCACGUACGCAUGUGCACGCGUAUACACAGAGGAAAGGAGAGUGAUGCUUGACUUUUGACCUGGUUAAAAUGGAAAGCAUGUGUCAGCACGCUCUACCUUACUGCUGAUCGAGACUAAGGUCUCUUUCAUAAGACUUGGGCUGGCACACAGCCUUUGGAUCUGAAGGAAGAGAUUAAAAAACAGAUCCACCUUGUGGAAAAUACCAGGCCCUAGGAGACUAGACAUAAAGCUUCUUUAAGGCUCGGUUUGACUCCAGGAAUUUGGGUUCUUCCAGGCUACCAAAUAGACAGAGUAGUCUGAGGGUCUGGGCUGCUGGCCACCCUGGUUACUAAGCCAGGCUGUCACUAAACAAGGCCUUGCAUCACUGGGACUAUCUGUCACCUAGAAUCUCACAGCAGCUACCUAGCUAGUUAGUCCCAUCUCUGCUUCCUCCUACCCCAAAUCUCUUCACAACAGGUUACCACAAUCCCUGAAGUUCUGCAAUGAGUCUCCAAUUCCCUCAGAGUGAAAGCUAAGGUCUUUUGACAUCCUUCAGGGCUCAGGAGCUGUUUCCUGUCUGACUCCAUCUCCUGCUGCUCUCCUCUCUGAGCCUCUUGGGCUCUGCUGCCUCCUCCCUCAGGCUCUGACUACACCCUCUGAUUGGAGAGUCUUGCUUGAGGAUAUCCACAUGCAACUCACUCACUCCCACAAAUCUUUGCUCAAGUGUCAACUCCUCAAGGAAACUCCUGACAACCCUUUCUAAAAUAGUAACUGCACACCGCCUACCCCCAGCAUGCUGCAACCCAGUUACCCUGCGAUUAUCUCUUUGAGGAGCAUUCGUCGCCCAACUCACCUCGUCGUUUACUGACUUUUCUCCGUGGAUCUUUCUCUGUCUCCCUUCACUAGAGGAUAAGCCACAUGAAGGCAGUGACUUCGGCAAGUCUUACAUAUCCUGAGGGCCUAGAACACUUAGUGGCUGCCCAGAAAUACCGGCUGGUUUUUGACUUGGCUCAUUUGGGAUGCUGGAGGCAAAGAAGCAAGCCUACUGUCCAUUGAUGAUGAGCUGACAGUUGGUAACCAACUUCCAAGGAGGAUCUGAGCUCAUUCUAGGGCAGAAGCAAUUUAUUCCCUCCCACCCUCCCCCUCCUUGUCAAGCUGAAAGUUGAGUCCUAACCUUGCACGAAGCUCUGCAGCUUUCCUCGUGCAUUAGCUGUUUCCCUUGCUGUGAGAACAGACUCCAUGUGUAGACGGGGCUCGCCUCAAACUCAGAGAUCCAUCUGCUUCUGUCUCCCACCUCCUAGGACUACCUAACUCCAACCGAUAACCACUCACAAAGGAAGAUGUGUGUUUGUUUUCUAGUGAGAAAGAGUGUGGAGCCAAGUAGAAGAGAUGGUGAGGAUCUGGGAGGAGUCAGAGGAGGGCACACUAAUACAAUCAAGAUGAAUUGUAUGAAGAAUCUAUUUUCAAUGAACAAAAAGAGAUAUGGGCUAACACACCCAGCCUUUUCUUCCCUUUAAGACCGGAUGCCAUAGUUACUUCCCCUAGGAAGCCCUCCUUGGUGAGCCUGUCUGGCAGUAUCACGAGCUUCCUGCAGCCUUGGGUGCUCUUGGCUGUUUCAUAAGAGCUAGCUCUGCUGCUCAAGGAGGCUCUGGGCCUUUGACUAUCUGCAUAAAGUGCAGUGUGGUACUUCAGACUCCUGAGCCAAGCACUGGACAGUGUUGUCCAAUGGGUUGAUCAGUGGUGGCAAUAAGGCAGACAGGUGCAAACAGGCAUUUCGUCAGGAAGAGCAGAGAGUGAACCUCUUCUACCCAGUUGACCGGUUCUGAGGUAUCAUCUACUUCCACAUCCAGGCACCAGGCUAGAGGGAUGAGCCUGGGCUAUUUGCAGCUGGCACUUGGCAGAGUUGUAUGCACAGGCAUCGGUGGCCUUAGCUGCCUUUCUGUCUCACUUCCCAGGAUUUGGGUGCCCUGAGUCUGUCGGGCCUGUGAUCUACUGGAUUGAUUGUAGAGCAGUGAUCCUUCUCACCAGGAGAGUGCACGAGUGAGACAUGUGGGCGAGUACCCGUGCUUGUUUAAAAAGCAUUUUGAGAGAAGAAAACUGGAGGCAGGACACAGACAGAACAGAGAGAAUGGAGGAAUCGAUUACCUAGUAUCAAGCAUUUUACUAUAGCUGCAGAAAUGGCAGAGAGAAGGGAAAUUGAGAACUGAGGGAGGGAGGGAGAGAGCAAUGCUAGUCUAUGAUGAUAGGACAUCCUUGACACGCCAGGGAGAGCAUGGUCCUGGGAGGCGGGACUUCCUGUGUCACAGCAAACAUUCAGCACUUCCUCUGGGUUAUACACUGGCAGAGCACUGUGAUUGAAGGUACGUUCCCCAAGGUCACGUGCGCUGAAGGCUUGGUUCCUAAUGGGAGUUGGGGCCUAGUGGAGAUCCUUAGGUCAUUGGGGCACACCCUUGAAGGGGGAGCAACAUACUCUUUCACCUGAAGCCCCUGAACUGAGAAAUUUACUCGGUCUCUGUUCUUGUUCCCAGCAGGCUGUGUGUUCUCACCAGAGAAACGAAUCUUCAACCUUGGGCACCCCAAAACCAUGAGCCGUGGCAAAUCUUUCCCCCUCUUGAUGUGGCAUCUCAGGCUAUUACCUCACAGUCACAGAGAACUGACUAGCACACUUGGUGUGGGUCUGUUGGAGAGCAAAGGCAGAAUAACGAAAGAACCCAACGUGCGCCUUCUGAUGCUUUCAAGGUGUCUCCAUCUGUUUUCUGCUGCUAUAGUAAAAUGCUUGAUACUAGGCAAUUUGCAAAGGAAAGAGGCUUAUUUAGGUUAAUGGAGAGUGGGAUGCUGGAGAAUCUGGUGACAACAUCUGUCAAGUUUCUCCAGAGGGUCUUGUUCUGCUUCAACCCAUGGCAAAAAGUGGAAGAGCGAGUGGCUGCAGGCUCGAGAGGCAGGACACAGGUGUGGCCUGGCUUCAUGUCAGCCUGCUCUUGUGAUAGCUGAUCUUGUUGUCUGCAUUAAUCCCUCUUGUGGAACUAGUCACCUCUUAGAGGCUUCAUUACCCCACCACCCAGCACAUUAGACGAGGAAUCGAAUUCCAGCGUGCACUUCAGAGGAGACAACCCAUAUUCAAACCCCAGCAGGAGGAGCUAAAGCAGGAGGCUUUGGUGUCACGCCCACACCACAGAAACAACAUUAUCCAGGCUGGCGGCACAACUAGCCAUAUCAUCCCUAUGCGUAAAAUAAAGAUAUGGGGUCAGGUGAUGUCUGAGAUGCUUUCUAGUCCUCACAUGUUUUUGUAAGCCAAGGGUGGGCUUGAUGUGGAGCGUCUGACUGGGGUCAGCUAGAGGAAGAAACCAUGUGAGCUCCCAGUGAGAGAGGACGUCGGUUUGGGAAGAUGAGACAUGGUCAGUCGUGUGAGCAUAACUGGAUGAGGGUGUGGCACCUGCUGAAACAACAGACGCGUCAUCCCCGACAGACCCUGCAGCCUAGGUGGAGUUUCUGGGCUUGUAAAACACUAACCCAAACAUGGCAAGACGUUAAUCUGUAGGGGACAGAUUAGUGUGUAUGUGGCUCAGCUGACCACAGGGCAGGGACUAGGGAUGGCAAUGGCCAGAAAUGGGGCAGGGAACCGGGCUGUGAACUCGUCCGGUUCUUAGCUCCACUUUUCCUUUUGUGGCAUGUGCAUGUGCCUGUCUGUGUGGAGUCCUUCUUCUUCAGGAGCAGAUGAGUAAACUGGACUUACCUGUCUUGGGCUUCCCUUCCCUUCCCUUCCCUUCCCUUUCCUUGUGUGUAAAAACACAUAUCUGUGUGAAGUCCUUUUCCGGGAGUAGUCCAGUCUACCUUGUGUUUUGAGACAGACUCUCUCACUGGGACUCGGACCUGCUGGUUAAGCCAGUCUGGCUGGCUAAUGAAUCCCAAGGAUCCUUCCCACCCUGCCUCCUCAGUGCUGGGACUAAAAGCAGCAGCACCACGAUCCCCAUCCCUUUUCGAUGUGGGUGCUGGAGACUGGACUUAGGUUCUCAUGCUUCUUGCCCAGCAGCGACUUUACCCACUGAGCUCUCUCCUGGUCCCUCCCUCUCACCUCUCACCUCUCACCACGCUGUUGAGACUCUCAAUCCAGGCUGGCCUCAUCCUCACUGUGGUGAUGAGAAUGGCCUUGAACUUCUGACUUUCCUGUCUACAUCUCAAAACCUGGUUUACAUUUUACUGGAGAGAAAGCCUGGGGCUUCUUGGAUGCUAGGUAACAAUAUCCAACUGAAGUCCAUCCUGAGACCUCUACUGACUAUUUCUUUAUGCUGAGCUAUUUGGGCUGAGCGCGCUGGGGCUCUUUAAUGCUGGGGAGGGGAAUGUCAAUCAAGAUGACACACACAUGGGGAGGUGGGGUUGACUGAUUGGUGUGCAUAUGAGAAGUGGUAUAAUUUUAUCUUCUAACCCAGCCUGGCAGGGCCUGGGAGUUACUUAGUUUUUAAAGAAGGAAGACAAAAACCAGCAUAUACGAGUCUGUGGUUGUGCUCACAUGGGUCGCAGCUUGUGAGGAGGCAGCUGAAAUCCCAAAUCAAUAAGGUAAUUGAGUCAUUUCCCUCAAGAGUCUCAGGCUAUUACUUUAAGUGGACACAGGGCAGUCGGCUGUGUUUGUUGAGCUGUAAUCAGCUUUGGACUCAUUGGACACAUUGAUCUCUUCUAACACCAUUCGGUGUUUGCACUGAACUGGGAGAGGUUGUCUCUGUCUCCUCCGUCCGUUCCUCCCUCAGUCCUUUCCUCCCCAUUCCCCGGGCUUCCAAAGAACCAAAGCAAAUGCGUAUUUUCCUCUGCCAGCUAGGCCGGAGGCUUUCUGCUCCCCAUCACUUGUUCUAACAGCAAAAAUCAAUUUUCCAAGACUCUACACUUCUACACACACACACACACACACACACACACACACACACACACACACAUCCUCCUCUCAACAAAUGUGCUUUUUAAUUUAGGAAAAGCGUCAAAACAACAGGUCCACUAUAGUUCUACAGUGUGUCCUAGGGCAGAAAAGCAGUUCCCAACCCGGCAAGGGACAUUGUCCUCAUUGAAGCUGCUCCCAACUCUGGUCAGCUCACAAUCCCAACCUUUGUGAUGACCAAAGAAUCAUGGCCUGUCCCCUUCCCCUCAGACUCCACCCUGCUGGCCCCCAAAGGUCACUGUCAGUGAUGUCACGGAAAAGUAUGUGUUAGAGCCUGUCCUCAGAGGCAGCCCUGGAAACUGCUGGUGGAUUCCAGAAAGUUGGCAGCGUUGCACUCCUUUUACUGAGCCCUGGCCCUGAGAAACGUCUCCAUCUUGAAUGCAGGACACAGGGGAAGGACUCCACUGUGGCUGGUGUGACCUGGAUGGGUGACCCCUCGGACAGUGUGGAUGCUCUGACUUCUACUGUGGUUUCCAUAUUCUUUCCCCUGGCAGUCCAUGGAGUACGGGGGGUGGGAGGGGACUUAGUCCUUCCCCCUAGUCCCUAGCCUCUCCUUGUAG
rnacentral:sRNA from 1 species